CUAAAGGCGAGCCGGAGAGGCGGCCGGAGUGGCGGGGGGCCGGGAGCGGGGCUCUCGGGGCGGCCCCCGGGCAGACGGGCCGGGCCCGGCGCAGCCCCGCUCCGCGGGAGGGAGGAGCCGGAGCCCCCAUCCCGUCACAGCUGUUGUGGAGCUAACAGACACCAAGCUUAUCUCAAUUGAUUAGACUCUUCCUGUUGAGUCAGUGUUGGAAGCAAUGACUGGAGUGCUCCAGGGAUCUGUUUCACAACCAAGUUUGUUCACUGUAUGUCUCAGUGACCUGGAAGAAGGAAUGUGCAGUAAGGUGAUAAAAAUUUGCUCAGGAGAUGACACAAACUCUGCUUUUGUCUGAGGCAGAAAGGGGGAGGAGUGGGCAGAUGGCAGUCAGUACAAAAGAGGGCAUCCUGUGUGCUGAAUCACAUUCCUUCCAGCUCCCUCUGGUUGUCAGUGAACAAACCCAGCUUGACAUUUUUCCACAUCUUCCAUUGACUUCCAUCAGCAACACAACAAAGUACUCCUGCCCAUACUGUCAGCCUGCUAAUGUUAGUGGACCAUCCAGAUAUCUAGAAUCAUGCAGGAAAAGGAACUACAGGUGAAUACCCAGAACUUGUGAUGCCAGAUGUGAUGGACAGUCUUUCCAUCCCUCGUGUUCCUGUGGAACCAUUCUCUCCACCCUUCCACCCACAGUUUGGCAGGAUGGAGAUCAACAGAGGUGCCUACUUAAAAUCAAAGGACAGCAGAUACUCAUUAGUUGGCAAAUGUCCAGUAUUUAAGCUUGAGGGAGAAAUUAAAUAUUUCUCAUAAUGGAAGUAUCCACUGGCCAUCCCUGUAUAUUCAACUUUUCAUGAUAAACCUAAGUAGAUAUUGCACUGUUUAAUUCUUAUCUUACUUUCUGUAAUGUGGUUAAUAUUUCUACCAUGUUUAUGUAGUUUCAGCUGCAGGGAAACCCUUUUCUAGGGUCAUAGUACAAUGCUUCAGUUUUCCAGCUGGAAGAACCUGAAUUUAAAAACAAAAUCUAAAUAUAAACUCAUGUGAACUGGGCAGGCCUAAACCAGUACUGAUACCCAGAUAAAUGGAUGUCUCCACUCAGAGAAACAAAAUUACAGAUACGGAAACUUAAAAAAACAGACUGUAGCUAAAGCAUCACUUUGAAUUUUAGGACUUGAAACUGGAGGAUGGGAACCCUCUGCUUGAGUUGAACUAAUUUUUCAUAAGUCUGAUUCGUUAUUGUACAUUCAUUAUUAUGGUAGCUGGAUAUUUUUUGCACAGCUUUAAAACAGAUGCUCCUCAGUUAACCUUUUCCCCAUGUCAUGGAUGUGUUUUAGGCUCAGCAGUUCUCUAUCCUAAUUCUCACUCAGAAACAUCAAUAUUUGUGGACUUGAAAUUAAAAGUGAUGACAACUUGGGUUAGAUUUCACCAAUCUCUUUAAGUACCUGUAGAUCUUUCCAGUUUACAAUUAAUAAAUGCUGUAGAGAGGGAGUCUAACUGUUACUGCAGAUUGGGACUACCCAAUAUAAUUCAUUUCUUUAUUGAGAGAAAUUAAUUCCAAAACAUUUGCAAGUUAUCAUCCUGUUUACAAAGUUCACCUGUAUCAGCAUGUGCCAGAUAACAGCUGAGCUGGCAUGGAGGGGGAUUUAAUCUGAUGUACUAGAUUACUUACUCCUCUUGGCGUUCCCCUUUUUCCCCCAAAGCAAGGAGUGAACCAGGGAGGGUAAGACAGCAAGUAUUUCUUCUCUGUUCUGGUCUUACUCAGGGCAGACUGUAAACUUAUGCCCUUAGCCUAUGUAAAUGUACAAAGUUGCACAGGCAAAGGGUUGGCUGGGUUGAAGCCCCUUUGAAAAUUUGGUCUCUAAGGUGUCAGAAAUCAGGGCCUGCAGCAGAACCUGUCUCAGGACAACCUAAUGAGUGCAGCUGGCCUGCAAUAGGCUGUCUAAUUGGCUGCACUGCCUGACUUGUUGGAAGAGUCAGCAGACCAGCUCUUAAGCCCAGCUGCAGUUCAGUGGCUGCUCACAGCAUUCACCCAUGGCUGUGAUAGCUUCUGCCUCACCUCACUCCAAGUAAUUCAGCUUUUACUCUUGACUCUAAUUCCUGACUUCUGAUUCCAGCUUUGGCCUCUGACUGCUAUUCCUGGCUACUGAUUCCUGCUCAACCACUUGGUGUGACUGCCCAUGCCCCGGUCUCUGACGUUAGGAACGUAGGUUUUCUGUUGGAUAACAUAAUCUUUUUUGUCUUCUAUAUCUGAUCUUUAGUUCUGCUUAGUGUCCAUUCUGAAACCUUGUUUUCAUCUGACAGCUGUUUCUCUGACAAAUUGGUAUUUGUGUUGUCUUCUGUCUUCAUUUCAGUGAUCAUAUCCUUAACUCCUAACUUCAUUGUGUUCAUAACUUCCUAUUUAUUCCUUUCCACUUGUUAUUAAAAUACCAGACUUUUUUGUCUCACCCUCAUCUCUCCAGAGUAGACAAUAUUAGGUUCAGUAGAUUCUGCUGGGACACUAUGCCAGGAAUGCAGGAACCUAAAUGAAUCCUUGACUGUUUACAUUCUUAUCUCUUCCAAAUAGCCUAUGACUCCUGGAAUCUUUUUCUGAUUAACUAUUUCAGU